rnacentral:snRNA from 1 species
AGCUUUGCGCCGUGGCAGUAUCGUAGCCAAUGACGUUUAUCUGAGGCGCGAUUAUUGCUAAUUGAAAACUUUUCCCGGCUUUU